rnacentral:rRNA from 1 species
AACGAACGCUGGCGGCAUGCCUAACACAUGCAAGUCGAACGAGACCUUCGGGUCUAGUGGCGCACGGGUGCGUAACGCGUGGGAACCUGCCCUUAGGUUCGGAAUAACUCCCCGAAAGGGGUGCUAAUACCGGAUAAUGUCUUCGGACCAAAGAUUUAUCGCCUUUGGAUGGGCCCGCGUUGGAUUAUCUAGUUGGUAGGGUAAAAGCCUACCAAGGCGACGAUCCAUAGCUGGUCUGAGAGGAUGAUCAGCCACACUGGGACUGAGACACGGCCCAGACUCCUACGGGAGGCAGCAGUGAGGAAUAUUGGACAAUGGGCGAAAGCCUGAUCCAGCAAUGCCGCGUGAGUGAUGAAGGCCUUAGGGUUGUAAAGCUCUUUUACUCGGGAUGAUAAUGACAGUACCGGGAGAAUAAGCUCCGGCUAACUCCGUG